GUCCCGGUGGCCGAGUGGUUAAGGCGUCGCCCUGCUAAGGCGGUGGGUUAUGCCCGCGCAGGUUCGAAUCCUGUCCGUGACG
rnacentral:tRNA from 1 species